CGCCCUCGAAGUAAAAGAGCACAUUCUGGUAUAGGGCGAACCACUUCUCGUGCCAGCGGCUCGCCUCGGCCGUCUUCUUACUCAGGAAGCCGCGCUUGGUGCCCUCCUUGCGCGCCAGGAAGGCCAGACUCAGCUUUCUCAUCACUAAAUUGGAAACUGAAGAUACAGGAGUUGAAGACUUGGUAUCCCCUUUGGUGCAGAAACUAUUCCUUCCUGAGAAGAGGUCUUUAAAUAGGCUCUCUAGAGAGGAAGCCACAUGUUGAAGGCACCAGGGUCACAAGAUGGAAGAAGCAGGGUCCCCGAGUCAUUAGUUGGCUUCAAGCUCUCAGGAGCAGCCCAACACACAUGGAAUUAUGACAUAAGCAACAAAGCAAUGAUCGCUUUAUUAAACCAAUGAGACACUGGGCUUCUUGUUUUAGCAACUAGUAUCAAUUGCCCCGACACAUUAUGGAUUUAGAGUCCACUGUACUACAACUGUUUGUUGUAUUUUCAAAAACAGGUUUGUUGUGGCAUAAUUGACUUACAAUACACUUUAUAUAUUU